UACGUAGGGUGCAAGCGUUAAUCGGAAUUACUGGGCGUAAAGCGUGCGCAGGCGGUGAUGUAAGACAGUUGUGAAAUCCCCGGGCUCAACCUGGGAACUGCAUCUGUGACUGCAUCGCUGGAGUGCGGCAGAGGGGGGUGGAAUUCCGCGUGUAGCAGUGAAAUGCGUAGAGAUGCGGAGGAACACCGAUGGCGAAGGCAGCCCCCUGGGCUGACACUGACGCUCAGGCACGAAAGCGUGGGGAGCAAACAGG
rnacentral:rRNA from 1 species